rnacentral:lncRNA from 1 species
CUUUUAUCUCUGGAUAUAACACAGGAUGAACACUAUAAGAAAUGUUACAUGAUUCCAUUUUUCCAGCUAAUUGUAUAUUUACCACUUUAAAACUGGUAUGUUUUACAGAACAUUGGAACUGUCUGGCUACCAUGUAAGCCUUUUUACUGUUAUGAAAGAAGGUUUCUUUGACAAAAGCAUUUUCACGAUGAAUAGUUGUUUUCUGGUACCCAUAUAUACAACAGUCACAAUUUGAAUAUUUAGACCCGUCUAGGACGUUUAGAACAAUACUUUCUAUAUGAG